rnacentral:rRNA from 1 species
GCAGUAGCCGCGGUAAUACGAAGGGGGCUAGCGUUGUUCGGAAUUACUGGGCGUAAAGCGCACGUAGGCGGAUAUUUAAGUCAGGGGUGAAAUCCCAGAGCUCAACUCUGGAACUGCCUUUGAUACUGGGUAUCUUGAGUAUGGAAGAGGUGAGUGGAAUUCCGAGUGUAGAGGUGAAAUUCGUAGAUAUUCGGAGGAACACCAGUGGCGAAAGCGGCUCACUGGUCCAUUACUGACGCUGAGGUGCGAAAGCGGGGGGAGCAAACAGGAUUAGAUACCCCGGUAGUCCCUGUCUCUUAUAC